GCUCAGGACGAACGCUGCGGCGUGCCUAACACAUGCAAGUCGAACGAGAAUUUGAUAAGCUUGCUUAGAAAAUUACUUAGUGGCGGACGGGUGAGUAACGCGUGGGUAACCUACCCAUAAAUCCGGGACAACCCUUGGAAACGAGGGCUAAUACCGGAUAAUCUUCGAGCUUGGCAUCAAGGUUGAAGGAAAGAUGGCCUCUGUAUAUGCUAUCGAUUAUGGAUGGACCCGCGUCUGAUUAGCUAGUUGGUGGGGUAAAGGCCUACCAAGGCGACGAUCAGUAGCCGGCCUGAGAGGGUGAACGGCCACACUGGGACUGAGACACGGCCCAGACUCCUACGGGAGGCAGCAGUGGGGAAUCUUCCGCAAUGGACGAAAGUCUGACGGAGCAACGCCGCGUGUAUGAUGAAGGUCUUCGGAUUGUAAAGUACUGUCUUUUGGGAAGAACGGUCGAUUUGAGAAUAUUGAGUCGACAUGACGGUACCCAAGGAGGAAGCCCCGGCUAACUACGUG
rnacentral:rRNA from 1 species